ensembl:lncRNA
GUGUGUAGGGGUGUGUGGAGGUGUGGAGGUGUGUAGUGGAGGUGGUGUAGUGGUGUGUGGAGGUGGUGUAGUGGUGUGUGGAGGCGUGUGGAGGUGUUGUAGUGGGGUGUGGAGGUGUGUAGUGGUGUGUGGAGGUGUGUGGUGGGGUGUGGAGGUGGUGUAGGGGUGUGUGGAGGUGUGUAGUGGAGGUGUGUAGUGGUGUGUGGAGGUGGUGUAGUGGUGUGUGGAGGUGGUGUAGUGGAGGUGGUGUAGUGGUGUGUGGAGGCGUGUGGAGGUGGUGUAGUGGUGUGUGGAGGCGUGUGGAGGUGGUGUAGUGGUGUGUGGAGGCGUGUGGAGGUGGUGUAGUGGUGUGUGGAGGCGUGUGGAGGUGUUGUAGUGGUGUGUGGAGGUGGUGUAGUGGGGUGUGGAGGCGUGUGGAGGUGGUGUAGUGGGGUGUAGUGGUGUGUGGAGGUGGUGUAGUGGUGUGUGGAGGUGGUGUAGUGGUGUGUGGAGGUGUGUGGAGGUGUGUGGUGGGGUGUGGUGGUGUAGUGGGGUGUGGGUGUGGAGGGAUAAGAUGAGAUGAGUUCUGUUCUGAUGAGAUGAGAUCUGUUCAGAUGAGAUGAAAUGAGUGGGGAGCGGACAGAUGCAUCUCCUGCAGGGACAUCUCUCUGGAAAAAAUAAAUCAAUUGGCAAAUGUUAC